CCUACGGGAGGCAGCAGUGAGGAAUAUUGGUCAAUGGUCGGGAGACUGAACCAGCCAAGCCGCGUGAGGGAUGAAGGUCCAAAGUAUCGUAAACCUCUUUUGUCAGGGAACAAAGGCGGGGAUGUGUCCCCGGACGCGUGUACCUGAAGAAAAAGCAUCGGCUAACUCCGUGCCAGCAGCCGCGGUAAUACGGAGGAUGCGAGCGUUAACCGGAUUUAUUGGGUUUAAAGGGAGCGUAGGCCGCAUGUCAAGCGUGCUGUGAAAUGUCCGGGCUCAACCCGGGCCUUGCAGCGGGUACUGGCGUGCUUGAGUCCGCGGAAAGCAGGCGGAAUUCGUGGUGUAGCGGUGAAAUGCUUAGAUAUGACGAAGAACCCCGAUUGCGAAGGCAGCUUGCUGCAGCGGAACUGACGCUGAUGCUCGAAAGCGCGGGUAUCGAACAGGAUUAGAUACCCUGGUAGUC
rnacentral:rRNA from 1 species